rnacentral:rRNA from 1 species
UACGGGGGGGGCAAGCGUUGUUCGGAAUUACUGGGCGUAAAGGGCGCGUAGGCGGUUUGCUAAGUUGGAUGUGAAAACUCUGGGCUUAACCCAGAGCCUGCAUCCAAAACUGGCAAACUUGAGUACUGGAGGGGAAAGCGGAAUUCCUGGUGUAGCGGUGAAAUGCGUAGAUAUCAGGAGGAACACCGGUGGCGAAGGCGGCUUUCUGGACAGUAACUGACGCUGAUGCGCGAAAGCUAGGGGAGCAAACAGG